rnacentral:rRNA from 1 species
AACAGGAUUAGAUACCCUGGUAGUCCACGCCGUAAACGAUGUCGACUUGGAGGUUGUGCCCUUGAGGCGUGGCUUCCGGAGCUAACGCGUUAAGUCGACCGCCUGGGGAGUACGGCCGCAAGGUUAAAACUCAAAUGAAUUGACGGGGGCCCGCACAAGCGGUGGAGCAUGUGGUUUAAUUCGAUGCAACGCGAAGAACCUUACCUACUCUUGACAUCCAGAGAACUUAGCAGAGAUGCUUUGGUGCCUUCGGGAACUCUGAGACAGGUGCUGCAUGGCUGUCGUCAGCUCGUGUUGUGAAAUGUUGGGUUAAGUCCCGCAACGAGCGCAACCCUUAUCCUUUGUUGCCAGCGGUCCGGCCGGGAACUCAAAGGAGACUGCCAGUGAUAAACUGGAGGAAGGUGGGGAUGACGUCAAGUCAUCAUGGCCCUUACGAGUAGGGCUACACACGUGCUACAAUGGCGCAUACAAAGAGAAGCGACCUCGCGAGAGCAAGCGGACCUCAUAAAGUGCGUCGUAGUCCGGAUUGGAGUCUGCAACUCGACUCCAUGAAGUCGGAAUCGCUAGUAAUCGUGGAUCAGAAUGCCACGGUGAAUACGUUCCCGGGCCUUGUACACACCGCCCGUCACACCAUGGGAGUGGGUUGCAAAAGGAGUAGGUAGCUUAACCUUCGGGAGGGCGCUUACCACUUUGUGAUUCAUGACUGGGGUGAAGUCGUAACAAGGUAACC